CGCACAUUGCGCCCGUUGGUAUUCCGACGGGCACGUCUGUUUGAGCGUCAUCUCAACCCUUCUGGGCAGUUUGCUCUGCUCCGGUAGUGAGCCCGGCCAGGCUUCCAAGCCGAGACCCGGUUCCAAAGUGGUACGCUCCAGCGGUUGGAUCCACCAGUCCAAAGAAACACAGUAAGCUCUCUCGGCUGACAGUUUCGCCAGCGACUCCGGUUGGUUCGAACGACCGCCUGAACAAAUCUUACAACCAAGGUUUGACCUCAGAUCAGACGAGGAUACCCGCUGAACUUAA
rnacentral:misc_RNA from 1 species